GAACUCUCAGGAUCGCAUCUGGAGAGUUUCCAGUCCUCUACCAGUCUCGACUACGAGAGGGAGAGUCAAGCAGAGGCAUACCCCUUCCAUUACUAGCGUGGGCAGUGGCUACUGAGUGGAAGGCAAUCCGCUACAAGU